UAUUAAAGAAGCUAAAAUUAAUCAAGUCUUGAAUUUUUCAAUUAGACAAUUUGAUUGAUUUUGAAUAUUUAAUUUAUUUAAUUUAUUAAUGCUAAGGUUAUUAAGUUGAAUCUGUUUCAUCCUCAAGUUCAUCAUCAACCUAAAACUAAAUUAUAAACCUUGAAAAGUUGCUCUUGCUCUUUGUGUUUUCUCGCUUAUCUUUUGACUUUUUUAGCGUUUACUGUAUUCAUAUUUAUGAUACUCAGUGUUCAUGUUUUCAACUGAGCUGCUUGUCAAGUGAAAAAAUGCCAUUUGACUUGGUAAACCUUUUUUUUCUUGGAUCAAGUUUGGUGAAGAUUGAGUCGUCUUUAAAAUGAUUCCAAUUUAUUAUUAUUUGGAUGGUGAUGACAAAAAGAAAAACGUUUUUGCUGCUUUCAAAAGAAAGAAUGUUUAAUUCAAAGGAGAAAGGCGAAGAAAAAAAGAUAUUUCAAUGUUUAUGUCUUAAAGAAAAGCGGAGAAAAUAAAAGAAGUAAAUAACUGCUAAGGAGGAAAAGAAAUGGUGACAAAGAAGAAUCUUUUGUAGAUUGGAUAAGUAGUAUAAAUCAACUGAACUCUUUGUCAAUGAGAUGCCACCAAAAACAAGUAACAUUCACUUCAAUGUCCUUCCUUUUGUAUUACAUAGUAAAUGUAAAGUUAAUUUAUCAGUCAGCUCAUGAUAACUUUUUCAACUACUUACUGAAUCAUACCCAACUACAUUAACCUGUUUACAGUUUCAACUCAACAAGCCACCCAAUUGACCGGAUAAAGUUUACUCAAUCAUGAUACGAUUGACCUUUAACCUUGUCCAGAUGCAUUUCUUCCGAUUCCCCAAUUGAUCUGCAUUCAAAGUUGAUUGUUAUACUUGCAAAAUAUUUGACGUCUCACUACAAUUCAAAUGAACAAGACUUGAUAUUUGUUUAAUUGUCAAUCAACAUCCAAUGCCAUCAUUAGCAUCAAAAUCACAAUAAACAUUUGUGACAUCAUUUAAAUUUCAUUCAAGGUUGACAAUGACAAAUUGUUUGGUAAAAAUUUUGCUCAUCACAAACGGAAAAAUCUUAAUAAAAUUAACAAUUAGCUGCAAAUUGUUGUGAAUGUAAUAGCUAAGAAGCACAGAAGCUAAGAGGAUCACUUGAUUGACUUUUGACUGUUUACACUGUUUACAGCUCCAAUAAUUAAGUUAAUUACAAAUGCAUGUUUAAAAGGCAAAAUUGUUGCAAUUGGAGAAGCUAAAAAUGGCUGUUAACAAUCAUCACCAUUAUACUGGAUAACAAUCAAUCGAUUGUGCAAAUUUGUGUUCAAAAAUUACACGAAUUAACAUUAAACAUUUCAACUAAAUGUCAAGCAUUGAUGCCCAGUAAAAUGUCUCAUGUUUACUUGUAAUCUUGAGGCUAAUGGAUUUUUGAUUAACUAGAUACAAUUUGAUACUUUAUUUUUGCCUCAUAAAUUAUCAUCAAUCCAGAAAGAAAUGAAUUAACCAUUGGCAACAGUUUAAUCAUAAACAACCAGAUGAUAUGUAAAGCGAUACUGGAAAGGUCAGAUGGCGAGCUAAAAAUUAAAGAUUUGUUGCUUCAACA